rnacentral:rRNA from 1 species
UACGAAGGGGGCUAGCGUUGCUCGGAAUCACUGGGCGUAAAGCGCACGUAGGCGGAUUGCUAAGUCAGGGGUGAAAUCCUGGAGCUCAACUCCAGAACUGCCUUUGAUACUGGCAAUCUCGAGUCCGGGAGAGGUGAGUGGAACUGCGAGUGUAGAGGUGAAAUUCGUAGAUAUUCGCAAGAACACCGAUGGCGAAGGCAAUCCCCUGGACCUGUACUGACGCUCAUGCACGAAAGCGUGGGGAGCAAACAGG